UGUCAGAGGGACCUUCUGAAGUGCAC
rnacentral:piRNA from 1 species